UUUUCAUUUGCAUCUCUUCAUUUGCAUGGAGUUGGUAUUUUCUGAGGACUGUCUAAAAUAAUGCCAAGGUACUUUGCUUUCCAGCCAAGGGGUCUGUAGCACCAACUUAACUCCAUGUGCUGUGGAGGGUUUGGGUUAGUUCUGUUUGUUUUACAUUACUUUUCAUGUAUUGGUACCAAAUUUCACCUGUGGAUUUACUACGCAUUCACCAUUGUAAAGCUUCUCUUCAGUCUCCUUUCUUUUGAGCUGCUUUGAAUAAUACUGUGUUGGCAGCAGCAUCAUUUUUGUCCCCUUUUCCAGGUCAUUUAAGUUUUAUAGCACAGAUUAUUGGGGAAGGGAGGGGGUGAGCAUCCAUAGCCACUGUUACAAAACCUGCUUGUGACUACUUGGUAUCACUUUCCUAGUCUCUCACUUUUGGUAUAUGCUGUUAAGAACCUCUUGAGAACAUGUAAACAAAAUAACAGAAGAAACAUGAUGGAAAAUAAUCUACUAUAACAAAAACCCACCAGGAUAGACACAGAGAAAGUGUGAUAGUUAUAUUUAUUUGGUUUAUCUACCAUUCCACUCUUCAGGUAACCAUCUCUGACAAGUCCUAAAAUUGGAGAUUUUUACCCACUUCAGACUGGGAGCCACCAAGUACUCAGAGGCUACACGUCAGCUGAUUCCUACCAUCCUGCCUCAGUAUGAGGUAGUAGCUUUAGUUUCCUGCUCUAAAAUGAGGAAGACCAGCAAAAAACUUAUGGUCAUUUGUUUUUUUGCUGGUGCAUAAUUUGGGUCAGCUGUAGUAGAAUAACACAACCUGAGCUUUAGCUGUGCAGUGAUUCAAACCAGGCUAAGACCUAUCAUACUGAUUUGAAAAGAAGGAUGUAGUGCUUGGAGGCACUUUUUCCCACCCCGCAAGAACUAUGUACUGGAAAAAUCCAAAUUGCAUGUAUUUCUCUAGGUGUAACUGUACCUUAUGGCUGCUUUUAGGGCCCUCAGCUCCUCCCUCAUGUGGAAAGAAUUAACCUGCUCAUUGGUGGGAGCCUUGGACCACAGUGCCCAGCAGUGGCUGCACCUCUAACGGACCUUCUCUUGAUGCUGCAGGACAAGCCAUUGGCAACGCUAGUGUUUCUGUUGGGAUGCCUGCACUCCCUGGCCAGGCAUUGUCUGUCUGGUAACCAGUUUCCUGGAAAAGCAUGGAUUUCUAAGCAACCUAGGAAGGGAAACAGUGCUUGGAAGGUCAGGCUGUUCAUAGUGUUGAAGGGAGCAGGGGCUGAGGAUGGCUAUGUGGUCAUAUGUAAAAGAGAAGGGUGACUGGACUGUGCAGCUCUAGAAGGCAGCUAAAGAUUUAAAUCGACUUCUUUAGUGUUUUAGUUUCUUUUGGUGUCACUUAAAAAGGAAUGCUUUAAAUCUUGGCCAAGGUGGUAUGCUUGGAAACCAGGUUUAAUAUUUAUAUUUCUUCCUGCUCCUACCUCUCAUGCUUAGUUUUUUAUUAACCAUUGCUUUUACCAGCAAAAUGGCAUUUUCAAUCACAACUGGGUAGAUCAAACUUGGAAGUGAAACAAUGUCCUGUGAAGUUCCUCAGAGAUGGGUGUUUAUCUGCUUUAUGUACAUAGCAACAGCAUAUUCCUGAUUGUGGGAACAGGUAUGCACAUGUCUUCGUACUUGGAUAUACACUGCAUUUAUGUGUAUAUCCACUACUUACAGUGAAAUCCAGGGAGUGAUUUGUGUGUAUGUGGCAGUUGGUCAAAUCUAAAAGUCUGUUCAAGUCCAUUGGGUUAUGCAGAGGGCAAAAUAACCCAGAUGCAUAAAAGAGAGGAGCAAAGCAAGCAUUCUGAUCCAAAAAAGGUGUGCUGCAGAAACUCUUCUUAGCUUUAUUCUGUUUUGAGUAGCAAACUUUACUUCCAUGUCAUUACAGCUGUUAAAUCACCUUUUUCCCCAACUUUGCCAUUCUCAUCCUCAGAGCUGGAAAAAGAAAACAAAGCCAUUGCAUUUUCAGACUAGCUUCCUCUUUCUGACACUAAAUCUUUAUAUAGAGAAAUGAAGAAUUACACGUACCUCCAGUGAUUAAUCCAGCAGAAUAAGCAUUGGUUUAGUGUUACAGAAAGAAAUCGGUAGAAAGCAUUAGUUCUGGUAAUUUUGCAAGAAAGAGGUAUAUUAAGAAAUAUUAAGAAAUGGCUCCAGUAUUACUAUUUGAAGAUUAGCACAGCUUUUCUAACCGUUCCCUUCCCUAAUGCCCUGCAGACAGCUGGUAUUGUCCUUGACUGAUACAAAGGAUGCAUGAAUAAUUAAACAAACUCUUUGUUUAAUCUAAACUCCUCAGUGAGAGCUGUAACUGUUUGGAAGCCUUUUUAGCUUCGUGUUGAUGUUCACAGAAAACUUUCCUGUCUUCCUGGUGUAGUGAGUCAGUGUUAGUCAUAUUGCUAUGAUUUAAGUCCGACAGAGUGACUUACUAUCUGUAUAAACUUCAGCAUGGCUGUUGUCUGUAACGGGGGAUAACGUGGGUUAGUUUGAAAGUGACAGUGGAGGGCAGAAGAUUAAAUGUUAAGGUUAUUUUUAGAACAGCAAUAGAAGGUUGCUGUUUGAUAUGUAAGAGCUCCCCCCACCACGUAGUUGAUCUGCGAAUCCUCUCCAGCCCUCUGACCUCUUAGUUUGAAGAGUCGCCCAAAAUAGCAUCUCUCGUCCCUUCAUCCUGCACAUGUCCCUGUACUGAGAGACAGGGGCGUCAAAGCAGCUGUUUGCUUGAUUUAUGCAUGUCAGCAAAUGCCCAACUGGAGCUAUGUUUUGAAUGCUAAAGUUGUUGCAAAUCAUAGAAGCAUCUGAGUGUAACUUUAUAUCGUAGGGCCACUGAUGUUAAGCUUAGCUCUUACAAAGACCCUGCGUACUGUUUGCAGACUAGGGAGUUCUGAAGGAUUCAAGUCCUGCCUGUGGUUUGAGAGAACAAUCAGCCUGAUGCUUUACUGAGAGCCAUUAGUCCCUUUUUGCCUUGCUCUAUGCUUUACAGAAACAUGGUGUGCAUGAAUCUUUCUUGGCGAAAAAGCUUUUUUGUCCAUUAUUCUUUGACACAAAGGUGUGUUUUUGAAGGUUACACGGCUUCCAGUGGUAAGGAAAAAAAAUAGCUCAUCUAGACCUGCCAUAAAGCCUUGGACCUUCAUGCCCCAUGAGAGUCUGUUCCACACUGUUAGUAGGUUUUACUGCCUGUUCAGCUUCAGUUUUUCCUUGCCUUAUUCAUUCUGCUGUGUCUAGCCUUUGUUUCCCCCCAAGGACUUUUAAUUUCCCUAAUGAGUAUUGAAUCUUCAAAACAUUUGCACACUGAUGGAAAUUUAAAGAGGAAAAUAAGCUCUAAUAAUGCAAACCACUGGUGUCCUAAUUAUAGCAUUGUCAUCCUUCUCUCUGUAAGGUUUUUCUGAGGGCAGAUACUUGAAGAUACUGGUCUUGCAACAAGCCUAUGGGGAAAGGAGAAUUGCUUCCAUAUGGAAGGAGGCAAGUCCUACAUUUCUAUCAGUUUGGGGGCAAGCUGAAAGCUCCUAGUUUAAUCUGAUGUUUCUCUGUAUAGAUUGGCACAUGGAACGAUUCCUUUGCCUCCUAGUCAUCCUUGGCCAUCACUAACUCAUUCAGAAACUUGCUCUGAAGGUUCAUUUUUUCCCUAAAGCAAGAUUGCUACAUAAGGGAUCAUCUCCCUGGUCUGUCCUGUGCUUCCUUCUUUUCCAUUCUCUUAAUGCCUGUUUAAUGUUCAAAUGCUGCAAUUGUCUCCUAAAGCUUUCAUUUCAGAGAGGGUUAUUUUUGCUGCUGUUCUAGUAAUGAAUGGUGAGGUACCAAACCCAAUUUUGACUCCCCUCUUUUCAGUGGUGGCAGUUAGGGUGAACCUCCUGGCCUGGACUAGUGGCUGCCUUUGAAAACAAUUUAUUUCCCUAAGAAACAACUCUGUGUAAUACAUUGUUGUAGAUUUAAGAGGCUUUCCUUGUUUUGUUUCCUUUUUAGAAGUCGCAGUAGGAUUAAAGGACUGCUGGGGAAAAAUUGAGUCACUUCCUGGCUUUUUCCACUGAGCAAAAUGUCCCAGGGAAUGACAAUAAAUAGGUGGAGAGGAUUUGUUCAGGAGCACCCUUGCAAUGGGCUGGAGGAUGAAUGAACUGUCUCAGUAGCAACCAGCUUGUGAGUGAGUGAGUGUUGCUUCUCCAUUAUAUGCCUAUACAUAUGUGAUGGGGGAAUUAGUGGACUAUGCCCAAAAUAUAAUUGGCUGGAACAGUUGUUGGAGUGGUUUAUCUUGCCUGUACCAGCUACUCCUGCUUUCAGUUGCUGGCAGCAGCCUUUGGUCCUGGAGGACACAGGGAAGUGCACAGAUGGCAGAAUUGGUGCUCGAAGGAAGCAAAGGUCCUCUCGAGUGAUAGGGCAUUGCAGUGGCCUCAUUGAUCAGAAAGGCUGGGAAGCACUGCUGGGGUAUUUCUGGCUGUUGUGUGCAUGAUUGCACGAGGCUGAUACUCCACUAAACUGAGAGUGUUCCUUACUGAACAGCUCUUCCUAAUCAGUGCAUACUGAUGCAGAAAUGCCUGAUACCCCUUAGGUAAUGCAGUGACCACCAUCUCUCCUGGCUUUACCUGUACUGUAAAGAAAUGCUGGGCUGCCAAUGGAGCUUUAGGCAGGGCCCAAACUUACUUUUUUGCUGCCAAAAUGUAAAAUAAUUCAGAAUAUAGUCUGGAAGAGGAGGAGGGAGAGAACAUGGGUUCAGGACCCCUGAUCUUCCUGUAAUUCCAGUACAGUGUUCUUUCUCUGAAACAGAAUGUGACUAUGGUCUGAAAUCUGCUGUUCUAUAAAUAUACUUUAAAUGCUGUUUAGUUGUAUACGUUGAAGUGCAACGUGAUGCUAAAGAAGAGCUUUCUGUGUUCCUAGAAGGUCUUGCUAUUGUUCUGUCAACUUUUUAUUAUAAAAUUUUAUACUUAGAAAUAGACACCUUAAAUAUCAAUAGAAUAUAAAAAGUGUUAAGAAAAAAUGACACUAUGGACCAUGUGGACUAACCAGAUGUAAUGAAAACUGUUGUCUUUCAGGGGCUAUAAAAAUACCUAACUCAGAUUAACAAAAGAUGCUAAAACUUGUAUAAACAUUGUCAAGGCAAGGUUGGCAAUGCUGAUCCCAGAGAAAUGCCAAGUAAAGCUCAUUAUUAAACAGUCUUUCUGAUUUAAGGAGUAAUUUGGGAGCAAUUUAAGGAGCAAAUAUCUCUGAAUUGGUUAGAAUGCAGAUAGGCACAAAAAACAUUCCAGUGAGGAGACAGUGUUAAGAAGCAAUGCUGUUAGUUACCUGGUAGAAAUGAAAAUUAAUUCUGCUAAUUGGGGUAGCAUUAAUGUCACUUGAAAGAGAACCACUUUGCAUCUUUGAAGGUUACAGAAAUGGCUUUUCUGAGAGUUUGCUUUCCAAAUUUUGAGCUGGCAACUAGUGCAUUGCUAAAGAUUAAAUAAUUCACCAAACUGCACAUUUGCAUUUGUUAAUAAACAAGAGCAAAGAAGUGAUUAGUAAUUGCGUAUUAGUCCAUGGAACGAUGGUAUUCAAGUGAAACAGUUGCUGGCAGAGAAGAGCAGUAUCAGUUUGCUACAUGAGUGAACAGCAGUGACAAGAUUUUCCUUUCCUGUUACCUGUUAGUGAGGGAUCUUCAGUGCCAUCUCCAGAUCCCUGGCCAUGAAGGUGAGCAUGGUGUGUUGGAGAGCUUAAGCGUUCCUCUUGUUCUUGCAGGGAGAUGGAGUUUUUGUGGGGUACCUUGUUCAAACUUGUGCCCAGACUGCUCACAGGGUUCAUCUGUGGGACUUCUGUGGCCUUCCUGCUCGGUGGCUGAUAAACCUGACUAUAGUGGCCUAUGGGAUGAUAUGCUGGUUUCUCAGAUUUGCUGUCCUCUUCAUCAUCAUCAUCAAUGAUAACUAACUCUGCACGGAUAACCCCAUCGUAUCGCAAUAACUUUUGGUUUGCCUCUGCAUCGUCAUCAUCAAUGCGCUGAUAACCCAUGAAAAUCAUGGUUACUGGUUCAGAAUCAUCCACGUAACAUGGCACAGCUUGGACAAUGCUGUAGUGAGCAUCUUCCUCAUCUUGAGGUGCAGGGGAUGUUUCAUUAAGAUGGCAGGGACUUAAAAACCUUGUCUCAUUAUGUCUUUCUUUGGUACUCUGGUAAGGUUUUAAUUCCUCAUGCGCAGCUUUUCUUCCCUCAUUAUGUAUCAUCCUGUUCUGAGGAUUAGUGUGCACAUUCUUCUCUGAAUGUGAAGGGACUGGAGAGGGAGAUUUUGGCUGUAUUACCUUUGGAAGAUCAAGCCCAUUCUCUUUAUGUUGCUGCAUAAAGGGCUCUGUUUUGGGGGAGAAUUCUGUCUGAUGGUUGCUAAAUCCAUUCAUCUCUCUUCUAUGUGUGUCUUCCAGUUUUGGUCCAGGGACUAAUUUGUCUUUCUGAGGAGUAACUGGCCUGCAAAACUUGUUUGCAAACACAGGCUCAUGGUACUCUGUGGGAGACUGGGAAUUCUUUUCAGUUGCCUGCCGUAGCAGGUCCUCCACCUCCACAGGAGCAAGUUCAUCCACCCCGUUUUGUGUCGUGCUGCCGUUUGAGGACACUGCGUAGACCGACUUCCUGCCAUCGUCAUAGACUUUAAUUCCUGUCUCUUUAAACUCCUUUGAGGGAAGAGGUAUUGUUGAUAACA